UACGUAGGGUGCAAGCGUUGUUCGGAAUUACUGGGCGUAAAGAGUGUGUAGGCGGUGUUCUAAGUCUGUCGUGAAAUCUCCGGGCUUAACUGGGAGGGUGCGGCGGAAACUGGAAUGCUAGAGGGUGGGAGAGGAAAGCGGAAUUCCUGGUGUAGCGGUGAAAUGCGUAGAUAUCAGGAGGAACACCAGUGGCGAAGGCGGCUUCCUGGUCUGCGACUGACGCUGUGGCGCGAAAGCUAGGGGAGCAAACGGG
rnacentral:rRNA from 1 species